rnacentral:rRNA from 1 species
CAGUCGAACGAUGAUGCUGAGCUUGCUUAGCGGAUUAGUGGCGAACGGGUGAGUAACACGUGAGUAACCUGCCUUUGACUCUGGGAUAAGCGUUGGAAACGACGUCUAAUACCGGAUAUGACCUUCCGCCGCAUGGUGUGGGGGUGGAAAGAUUUUUUGGUUGGAGAUGGACUCGCGGCCUAUCAGGUUGUUGGUGGGGUAAUGGCUCACCAAGCCUACGACGGGUAGCCGGCCUGAGAGGGUGACCGGCCACACUGGGACUGAGACACGGCCCAGACUCCUACGGGAGGCAGCAGUGGGGAAUAUUGCACAAUGGGCGAAAGCCUGAUGCAGCAACGCCGCGUGAGGGAUGACGGCCUUCGGGUUGUAAACCUCUUUUAGUAAGGAAGAAGAACUUCGGUUUGACGGUACUUGCAGAAAAAGCACCGGCUAACUACGUGCCAGCAGCCGCGGUAAUACGUAGGGUGCAAGCGUUGUCCGGAAUUAUUGGGCGUAAAGAGCUCGUAGGCGGUUUGUCGCGUCUGCUGUGAAAUCCUGAGGCUCAACCUCGGGCUUGCAGUGGGUACGGGCAGACUAGAGUGCGGUAGGGGAGAUUGGAAUUCCUGGUGUAGCGGUGGAAUGCGCAGAUAUCAGGAGGAACACCGAUGGCGAAGGCAGAUCUCUGGGCCGUAACUGACGCUGAGGAGCGAAAGCAUGGGGAGCGAACAGGAUUAGAUACCCUGGUAGUCCAUGCCGUAAACGUUGGGAACUAGAUGUAGGGGCCAUUCCACGGUUUCUGUGUCGCAGCUAACGCAUUAAGUUCCCCGCCUGGGGAGUACGGCCGCAAGGCUAAAACUCAAAGGAAUUGACGGGGGCCCGCACAAGCGGCGGAGCAUGCGGAUUAAUUCGAUGCAACGCGAAGAACCUUACCAAGGCUUGACAUGAACGAGAACGGGCCAGA